AGAGUUUGAUCCUGGCUCAGAUUGAACGCUGGCGGCGUGCCUAACACAUGCAAGUCGAGCGGUAACAGGUGUAGCAAUACAUGCUGACGAGCGGCGAACGGGUGAGUAAUGCUUCGGAAUCUACCCAAUGGCGGGGAAUAACUAGCCGAAAGGUUAGCUAAUACCGCAUAAGCCCUACGGGGGAAAGCAGGGGAUCGUAAGACCUUGCACCGAUGGAUGAGCCGAAGCCGGAUUAGCUAGUUGGUAGGGUAACGGCCUACCAAGGCGACGAUCCGUAGCUGGUCUGAGAGGACGACCAGCCACACUGGGACUGAGACACGGCCCAGACUCCUACGGGAGGCAGCAGUGGGGAAUAUUGGACAAUGGGGGAAACCCUGAUCCAGCGACGCCGCGUGUGUGAAGAAGGCCUGCGGGUUGUAAAGCACUUUUAGUGGGGAUGAAAAGUUCAGGGCUAAUAUCCCUGGAUCUUGACCUAACCCAAAGAAAAAGCACCGGCUAACUCUGUGCCAGCAGCCGCGGUAAUACAGAGGGUGCAAGCGUUAAUCGGAAUUACUGGGCGUAAAGCGUGCGUAGACGGUUAUGUAAGUCAGGUGCGAAAGCCCCGGGCUCAACCUGGGAAUGCCAUUUGAGACUGCAUAGCUAGGGUACGGAAGAGGGAAGCGGAAUUUCAGGUGUAGCGGUGAAAUGCGUAGAUAUCUGAAGGAACACCAGUGGCGAAAGCGGCUUCCUGGUCCAGUACCGACGUUCAGGCACGAAAGCGUGGGGAGCAAACAGGAUUAGAUACCCUAGUAGUCC
rnacentral:rRNA from 1 species